rnacentral:rRNA from 1 species
GACGUAGGGCGCGAGCGUUGUCCGGAUUUAUUGGGCGUAAAGAGCUCGUAGGCGGCUCGUUGCGUCGGCUGUGAAAACCCGCAGCUCAACUGUGGGCUUGCAGCUGAUACGGGCGGGCUGGGAUUCGGUAGGGGAGACUGGAAUUCCUGGUGUAGCGGUGAAAUGCGCAGAUAUCAGGAGGAACACCGAUGGCGAAGGCAGGUCUCUGGGCCACUACUGACGCUGAGAAGCGAAAGCAUGGGGAGCGAACAGG